ensembl:lncRNA
GGACAUUUCUCUCAGUCAACAGUCAAUCAGGUUGAUCAACGUGAAAGUGCUGACAUGAAGCUUGGGUUGCUUGUCGUGGUGGCUGUGGCAGUUGUGCUGCCCAGCUUUUCUGAGAGCAGGAUUGUCUCCAAAUGUGAGCUCAAAGACAAGCUCGGGAAAAUGAUCAAUCUGCCCAGAAACUCAAAGGAAAAAAUCUUGGCAAUAGUUAUCUGUGACGUGAAACGGAGGUCUGAUCUGAACACCGCUUUGGUCACAUCAUUUGGAAAGUGCACUAACACUACUACUAGCCCAACUAGUACUAACUCCACCAUCAGCUCAGUGAACACAACCCUUGAGUCAAACAGCACAAGUAGCAGUGAGGAAGACAGCAGUGAGGAGGAGAGCAGGCAAAUUAACGGAGGAGUGGAAGACAGCAGGGAGGAGGAAAAUUUGACGCCUUUGUCCCUCAGCCUUUACGGGCUCUUCCAGCUGUCUGACAGGAAGUUCUGUGAUUCAGGGUAUUGCCCAUCUGAAAAUUUGUGUAAUACCUCCUGCACAGCCUUUAACGACGAGGACAUAACUGAUGAUAUUGCUUGUGUUAUCCAGACUGGAUACUGGAAGGAGAUUGAGAUGACAGCCUCAGAGUCAUGUCGUCACAACUGGAAUUGCUUCAAAGAAUAAAGUGCUGACAUGAAACUCGGGUUGCUUGUUGUGGUGGCUGUGGCAGUUCUGCUGCCCAGCUUUUCUGAGAGCCGGAUCGUCUCCAAAUGCGAGCUCCAAGACAAGCUUGGGAAAGUGAUACGUCUGCCCAGGACACUCUUGGCUAUAAUUGUCUGUGAAGUGGACAGGAUCUCUCAUCUGAACACCAGCUUGGUCAAUGUGCUUGGCAAGCGCACAACUACCACACUAAAGCCAACAACCCCCUCCACAACAGCAGUCACCUUAACGACCACUGGAGCGACGACACUGACAAGCACCAACUCAGCAACCACUGACCUGACUGCUACUACUACUACUACUUCUACUGCUAUUACUACUACUACUACUGUCAUGACUACUAGCCCUGCGAUUACUAACUCCACCAUCAGCUCAGUGAACACAACCCUUGUGUCAAACAGCACAAGUGGCAUGAACAGAAGAAAGCGACAUGCUCACUCGAGCAGUGAGGAGGAGAUCGGGCAAACUGGCGGAGGAGUGGAAGACAGCAGUGAGGAGGAAAACUUGAAGCCUUCGUCCCUCGGCCUUUACGGGCUCUUCCAGCUGCCUGACAACAUUUUCUGUAAUUCGGGGCUUCGUCCAUCCAGAAAUGUUUGCCGCACCUCCUGCAACUCCUUCACUGACAAUAACAUAACUGACGAUAUUGCUUGUUUCAUCAACACUGGUUACUGGAGGUAAGUUUCUGGACAGCAUAAUACAUAUAGGUCAAAUAAAUAAUCAAACCUUUGAAUAAAUAUCACAUGCCUGUAAUGAAUUAUUUGACUAAUUUAUUUGCAGUAUAUAUACUGUACAACAAUUGACAAAUUAAAGAAAAAUCCGAUAUAAACUGAUUUAGCAAGCUGUGACAUUAAUACAGCUUCAGCACUCCCUUGCAUGUCUCUGGAACUUUAAUGUAAGGACUGAACACCAUUGUUAAGAAAUCACUGUCUGAGAUGCUGGUUAGGAUUUCUGAAGGGGAUCCACCUCAUAUAUAGAUGCAAUAAUCAAACAUUACAAAUGUGUACAGCUUAGCUCACUCAGUAAAGCAUGUGAUCAAUAUGCCAUAAGGUUAAUGCUGAGGCCUGGGUUUGAAUCUGUCCCCAAAAUCAGUCAUUGCAUAUCUUCCAACAACUGUCAAAAAAGUGCAUUCUUUAUAUUAAAAAGAAGCAGAUACACAAAAAGCUUAAGUGAAGACACUGAAUAUAACACAAAUAUGUUAAUGUAAAGAGAAAUACAACAUAUGGUGUUGCCUAAUAAUUACCUUUUGUUUUAAUCCAACAGGAACAUUGUGAGGAGAGCCUCUCGCUCAUGUCGUCACAACAUGAAUUUCUUAAGAGAAUGUAAAUAAGUGGAUGUGGAAUCACAGUUUUUCCCUGCAGAAUCACAAAAAAUUCUUCACAGUUUCCAUCUCCAGUGAUCUGUGAUUAAGGAACCGCAUGCUCCAUUAUCUACUUUACCUUAUGAAGCACUAUUUUCUUUCUUUGGUGGAGGAAUCUUUCAAUAAACAUUACUUUGCAGCAUAUAUACA